GGUGAUUGUUGUGGCGAUAGAUUGGGCGAUUUCGCAAUAAAGAUUGGAAACAGUUUGGAAGAUCAUGGUCGAUCAAAUCCUCGAUGUGGAGAAACUAAUCUUGCUGUACCCCAAGGGCAGACUAAGACAUUCUCAUGUUCCCCACCGAUACAUGGACAAUACUUGGUGAUACAGUCAUUUCUCAACAAGCUGACGAUGUGCGAAUUACAGGUGUAUGCUUAUCCAUGAUAUGUGCAAGGUAAUGUAAACUUUAUUUAUUAUGCAAUACCUGUGUUAAAAGCGGCUUUCUGUUCGUUCCGAGCAGGUGAGCUUUUUACGAACUCGCCUGCUUUUCACAGAAAUCACCCGCGAUAAAGCUGCUUACGUUGUCGUCCGGGUCAGGGCCUUUUUUGAGUAUUUUCUCGUGGGGGAGGGGGGGGGGAGGGGGGGGGCAUUUUUUGUAAAGAGACCUUUCUGUGAAAUAAUAUAUUAGAAUCCAAUAGCAAUGGCUGAAGGCCAUUGCUAUUGGAUUCUAAUAUAUUAUUUCACAGAAAGGUCUCUUUACAAAAAAAUGAUACAGUCAUGGUGAUUUCUUACAAUGUAGUAAAAAAUCUAAGCAAUAUGGUCCAAUACGCAACAGCCUUCCGCCCUUCUCAUGAACUUUCAUCCAUUAAAUUAAGAUGAUAUUCAUAACAAAUAUAUUAAAAUUAUAAGAAUCUAGAAUCUUAAACUGCAGACAGUUCCCAUUGGUCACUUUCAUCAUUCAUUAAAAUGUAAAUGGUUGCUGUUAAAUUAAAAUAUAAAGAAUAUUUAUUCCGUAGCCAUGCAUGUUGAAAUACGUCUACCCUGCUGGUAGUGGUUUCGGAGCUGAGGAGAAACCACUGCGAACAAACAAACGACUUUCUAUCGAGCAUGCACAAAGAUCACAGGGUGGGACGACAUUAAUUUGACUUCAUUUGCUGUAGUUUGACAGUUUGUUAUCUGUAUGUAAACAAACGAGGCAUAGUAAUGUUUACUUUGUUAUCUGUCUGACUUUUUAUUCUACAUGCAGUUCACAAUUUACUUCUAAAAGAUUUUGAAAUCAGUGCCUCGCCCUACGGCUACAAAUUGUGCAUUUGAAUUUCUGUUAUAUCUUUUUCAAUUUUUGUAUUUAUCUGAUCAAUAUCAAUUUUUUUAAUUCAGUCUGCAAACUUUAUUUGUGUUAAGGUUUUCGAUAAACCCCAAUUUCCAAAGUUUCCAAAUAAUAUAAUAAUAUAAUAAGGUUUCCAAUUACUGUUGAUUUUGACAAUGUUGCAAUUUUUGAUUGUCGCGACCUCAACCGCUACAAAUUUCAACUGAUGAAAGAUUGUCACGACGGCGCUACUAUUUCUGUUAAAGGUGUUGAUUUUUGUUGCAGUGUGUGAAUUUAUAGUUACUCUGUUGAACUGUAUAGGCGGUUUUCAAGUAAUCUUAAUGUAUAAUUUCAAACAUUUUAUUCAAUAUUUUGUAAUUCAAUAUUUUGUAAAGUUAUAAUAUUUUGUAAAAGGUAGUACAUUUAUGGCUUGUUACUAUAUUUAGAGCGUGAUCAUGUUGUUUUAGUGCAACUGGCUCGCAUUUUACCAGCAGUGCCAAGCAGCUACCCAUGCAAACAAUAACAAAAACUUGUCAAACUUGUUCUACUGGUUUCUCAUUUAAUGUAUUCGUCCAUGAAUCUGGACGGUGGCUACAAUUAAACGAUCGUUCGUUUGCUCGCAGUGGUUUCAGCUCAGCUAGAAACCACUGGUAGCACGGUAAAAUACGUCUAUUUUGGUUUCAAAUCUAAUGAAAUGGUGCAUAGAAUACACUGAACCUUGUUUAGUGAUGAUCAAAUUUAAACAAGGAUUCACAGUGUUUGCGUGCAGAAAAUCUGUUCGUUGGCUUUGUGGUCCCAGAAAAUAAAAUAUUUUAUGCAGCCCUGGCCUCGUGGAAUCAGGCCUUUAAGGCGGUUUUCCACUACGCGAAAUUUUUCGACCGAAUCGAAAUUUCUCUUUGUUUCAUGAGCUCUCGAGCAGAACUAAUUGUAAAAAGACAAAGAGAAAUUUCGUUUCGGUCGAAAAAUUCCGCCUCGUGAAAUCAGGCCUUAAAAGGCCUGAUUCCACGAGCGCUUUUUCUCUGCGAAAUGCGAAAUAUUUCGCCUGUUUCUUUUGAAUUGCGACCACUCGAAUAAAUUAUUUCUACUUGAUUGCUCACAAUUCAAAAGAAACAAGCGAAAUAAUUCGCAUUUCGCCGAGAAAAAGCGCUUGUGGAAUCAGGCCUUAACGCCCGUAUUCUAAAAGCCCACUCACACUCACAUUGGAAUUUCAAUCUGAGCUUCUCUUGAGUGUCAAUGCUGUUUUUGAACAGCUGGAGGGUGAGUAGUCACAUAUUAAGGUACAACACUAACCCUCCAGCUAUUCAAAAACAGCAAUGACACUCGAGAGAAGCUCAGAUUGAACACUCGUUGAGUGUGAGUGUUAGUGAGCUUUUAGAAAAUGGGCGUCAGGAUAUAGAUUUAAAGUACAUAACCUAUAAGUGUAUUAGAAAUGAAAUCAUAUCAGGCUAGUUGCACGCAGAAGCGAAUUGAGACUUGCUAAGCUCUCAGCGUUUCUAAUUGCGGACUGGUAAAUUGUUCCAUAAUUCGGCGCCUCUGUAACUUAUACUUUUUUUAAAAUAUUUCGUUUUAGGAACAAGGAAGAUUCAGCUUCAUGUCUGACAACUGAAGCACUGGAAAAUGUUUCUGAACCAACUCCAUGAGCCGCCAUCUCCAUUGGUUUUUAAAACACAGAAAAAAUUAUUAAUAAAUAUAAGUAGCUAUAGAUAUUUCCGUGCAGUAGUAAAUGCGUGAAAUAGAAAAUCACGGCGCG